AGUGAACGCCGGCGGUAGGCCUAACACAUGCAAGUCGAACGGCAGCACAGGAGAGCUUGCUCUCUGGGUGGCGAGUGGCGGACGGGUGAGGAAUACAUCGGAAUCUACUCUGUCGUGGGGGAUAACGUAGGGAAACUUACGCUAAUACCGCAUACGACCUACGGGUGAAAGCAGGGGACCUUCGGGCCUUGCGCGAUUGACUGAGCCGAUGUCGGAUUAGCUAGUUGGCGGGGUAAAGGCCCACCAAGGCGACGAUCCGUAGCUGGUCUGAGAGGAUGAUCAGCCACACUGGAACUGAGACACGGUCCAGACUCCUACGGGAGGCAGCAGUGGGGAAUAUUGGACAAUGGGAGCAAGCCUGAUCCAGCCAUACCGCGUGGGUGAAGAAGGCCUUCGGGUUGUAAAGCCCUUUUGUUGGGAAAGAAAUCCAGCUGGCUAAUACCCGGUUGGGAUGACGGUACCCAAAGAAUAAGCACCGGCUAACUUCGUGCCAGCCGCCGCAGUAA
rnacentral:rRNA from 1 species